GCUACUUUUUUUCUCAGCUAUUAAGGAUAUUGUUCUCAUUGAAAUUACGAAAUAAAAAGUGAGGGUCAUGCUGCUCGUUUAAGAGAAAAGGAGCAUCUGUUUUGCUAUCGAGCUAAUUUCAGGGAAAUCUCUUACAUUUUGUAUGUGCACGCGCUCAUAUGCGCGUGCUAAUGACACGAAAUCAUGCACAGUAGGGAUGCACAAUGCAAUACCAAGGAAUCACCUUAAGCAAUGUUCGCCUAAUGAAACCCACAAAUAUAAUUUGUUUGUUCCAGUCAUUGCUAGACUGUUUAAAAAUUGACCUACUACAAAGAAAAGCUUAAAACUUAACCAAAGAUAGCCUUGGCAGGGCUCAGCAGCUCAAUUAAGUGGCACGCUUUCACUGGAAUUCUUGCCACCUGCCAAAGAAAAAGUAUGGAACGGAUGCAUAUUUUAUGAAACUUUGAAUUUUUUGAUCGGCAUAUUGAAUUCCAUAAGCCGUUGUUUUGAUGUUCUACAAAGAAUUUAUGUCCGUCAAAACAUAAAUGAAACCAAACAUGCAUCAGCAGAUCCUAAUUUUGGACUUCAGAAAUAACUGGGUAAACAAAUAUAGCUGAAGAAGAAGUUUCUGUUUCCUCAAUUCUCACCCGUACAAACGCACAACAAAUCAUUGCGUUACUACGAAUAAGGCUACAGUUGAACAACAAGUGUUGGGAAGUUUCUUAAUGAUGUGACCAAAAUUAAGUUCUAAAGUGUAAGCCAUAAAAAAUCUAAACUCUGUUGUAGUCAUAUUAGGGAGAGUUUUCGUUCACGAAGAACUAAUGACCAUCAUUUGGUAGAUUUUACCGAGCAACGAGUUGAGAGCGUCUGAAAUUUCAUUUGCAAACAAAGUAACUUUACAGGUACAGGUACUGAUAUAAAGGCCUUCAGCUUUUUUGUUGGUACAUAAUUAUUUUCAUCUGUAUUGUAACAGUAACUUAUCGGUUGGUUAUAAAUUAGAUAGUGGGUUUGUGCUCAAUGUUACAUUUACGGCUUCACGGAAACAAAGCAGACUGCAAAAGGCAUGUUUUGAUGUCCCAGAGUCCCAUGGUGUCUAAGUUGGAAACUAUAGUGUCUAGCGAAAAGUUUUGUUUUGGCAUCUUGUAUGUCGAUUUUUGUGCAGUGAAGGUGAAAGAGACGACAAAUAUCUUGACAUCUGUAGAGCAAUACCUUUGAAAUAUACGUCGACAAAGAGAUAUGCUCUGUGACAAAAGUAUGACAGUUGGGCAAAUCUAAAGUGUCACAAAAAGCUGAAUCUGAUCACAUUCUUUGCCGUACGGAAAACCUCUGCUGUUCGAAAUGCUGAAAAGUUUUGAAUUCUGAAUUGAAAACCGCUGCCGUCCUAAAAGAUAAAAAAUUUUUUCGAAUGGAUAGCAGCAGUUGUUUGAACAGCUAAAUAUUUUUCUGAACAGAUAACCCCAACUGUUUGAAUGGCAUUCCAAUCAAUCUUGAAUGCAACAGCAAGCAAUCAAUUUUUAGCCGUUCCAACAGAUACCCGUUGGUGUAUGUUUUCGUGUGAGAGGCCACAAUAAAAAAGAGAUUAAAGAUUUACAGUUGAGGAUUUGAUUGUUUAUUCAAGAAUGAACAAUGUGACUGUCUCAACAUGGUGUGACCAGUCAACAUGACCAGCGAGUGAAGUUUUUGGCCGGUCAAGUCACCAUUCUAGCCGUACAUUGUCCGUUGACCGGCUGUUAUUUUGAGCUCUGGUGUUGAUUGUAGUCUGGCCUCUACCCUGCACCCUUCCUGACUUGGUUGAACAUUCUUGCUACUGUGCACAAGGGUCACUGACAGAUGCAAGCCUCCCCACCAUGUCAAGGUAGCAGCACAUGGGGAGGAAAACCCAGUGCACUGCUCUCCCAGAAAGGCACAAAAAAUGAUUUCCACUCUUAUUUAAAUUCUUCUUUAGCACCAUAUUGUCUGUCAAAAAUAAAGCACAAAUUUCAACAUUGACAUUCUCAUUUGUUCUCCUCUAUAGAUUUUGAGUGAAUUUUGUCAUCACAAAGUCAGACUUAUCUGUGGAGGAUCUACUAGACACAGGUCGAUAUGGUGUGGCAUUCAAGCUCUAGCUGCAGAUGGGAGAGGUCCGCCGACUGUGGUAAUUCUUCAUGAUGCAGUUCGGCCAUUUGUAGAUGAACCAACUUUACGGAGUGUGACUGAAGCUGCUAAGAAACAUGGAGUAAGUAACACACUGAGUUUGUAACAAUCUACC